GAUGAACGCUAGCGGCACGCCUAACACAUGCAAGUCGAGCGGCAGCGAGACUAGUAGCAAUACUAGUUGUCGGCGAGCGGCGGACGGGUGAGUAACACGUAGGAAUCUGCCCUUAAGCGGGGGAUAACCAAGGGAAACUUUGGCUAUUACCGCAUAAUCUCGAGAGAGCAAAGCUGCCCGAAAGGGUCGCACUUGAGGAGGAGCCUGCGUCCGAUUAGCUAGUUGGGGGGGUAAUGGCCUAACAAGGCGAUGAUCGGUAACUGGGCUGAGAGGACGACCAGUCACACUGGGACUGAGACACGGCCCAGACUCCUACGGGAGGCAGCAGUGGGGAAUAUUGGACAGUGGGGGCAACCCUGAUCCAGCGAUGCCGCGUGAGUGAAGAAGGCCUUCGGGUCGUAAAGCUCUUUAGGUUGGGAAGAAGGGUAUUAGCUGAAUAAUCCAGUACUUUGACGGUACCGACAGAAUAAGCACCGGCAAACUACGUGCCAGCAGCCGCCGCCGUAA
rnacentral:rRNA from 1 species